AAUAAUAACUAAUAUGGUAAAUUCCCAAAUUAUGUGUGAUGAUUCAUUCCACAAAAUCAGCGAUGCUCUCUCUCUCUCCCCAUUACCCAAAUUCCCCUACCACUCCGACUCUUUUAUGAAACCUAACGUGAAUUGCCAUCAAUGAUCGGUGAAUAAUCGCGAUUACGAAGGGACGGCGACGGCGAAUCGAAAGGAAACCCUCGAAAAUUCAAUUUCAUCGACGAUUAGAAGGAAUUUGCUUGGCCAAACGAAGAAAUUUUGUUGGCGAUUGUGAAUUGAGUUUAGCUGCUUGUUUCUCCGACUACACCUAGUUUAGGUGAAUGUUCUAGCUAGGGACAAAUCGCUCGAAAAGCAAAAGUGAAUGUUCUAGAGUUGAAAUGGAGUACAAAAGAUGACACCAUAAAUUGUGAACUUUAUGCAAUGCGUCGUAUGGGAACGAAGGUCACCGCCUGGAAAUGUGAUCAUACAAACAAAUAAUCAAAGUCUUUGCAGCUUCUUCGUGCCAAAUAUUGUACAACAAUGUUGUAUAAUAACGACAAUAGAGCCUUUGGCUGUGUGUUGAGAAUUGCCUCACAUCUGUUCGAGGAGGCAAAAAAGAGAGGACCGAUAGAUGUGGAGAAGAUGGUUGCAGAGUACAAGAAACCAUAGACAAUGAAUGAACUCUUGGCUUUUUUUAACAUGAAUGAAAUCUUGGCUGUGUGAAUGAACUCAAUACUGAAACAUGUAGUUUUGUUUUGGUGUAGACAAUGUGGGUGACUUAAUUUGAUUGACGUUUUUUUUUUCUAUA